rnacentral:piRNA from 1 species
UUGAACUGGAAUCGACUAUUGCCUGUUCUAU